rnacentral:piRNA from 1 species
UAGAUACCCCAUCUGCAGCUGAUCACACA